rnacentral:lncRNA from 10 species
CUGCCGACUUUUCUUUCACUUUCACUUAGAGCAAGAUGGCAGCCCGCGUCCCUGUGUGAAGCCGUCUGCAGCAGCUGCCAGAGCCCUGCUUGCUGUUUCCUUUCUCACCACCCACCUCACCCGGAAAUCCCCUGGUGAUUUCAAGACCUGACCUCUGCACCCUUUUGCUCCCCACCUGUCCCAAAAAAGUGGAGCUAUAACUGUGGGAAAAGGGGAUCUGAAGUCAGACACAGGAUCCACAGUAGCCUGGGGACCUUUCUCACCCCCGCCCUUAAGCAGGCCCCAACAUAACCGGCUGAGAAACCUCCUCUGCCAGAUCCUGACCUGAGCCAGGAGGCGGCCAGGAAACUGGAUUUUGGGACUGGGAUUUCAGAGAGGAAGCUGGAGAGCUGCAGGGUGGUCAUCUGUCACUUUAUUUUGCCCGUCUUGUAGCAUUCUCGAAAAGGCACUCUGUCACGUGUACACAGGAAAGGGCCCUGACAAGAGGAUGGGACUGCAGUUGUGGCUGCCAGGGCCCCGGCCAGGGUGAAAACAAGGAACAUUCCAGAGAAGAUCACAAGGAUGCGAAUAAAAUCGGAGCUGCACAGGGAUCUUUGGGCUGUAAUAGGAGGGGACACACAGGGGUUAGGGGAGGGUCUAGCCCUUGGCUCCCUCAGCCCAGCCCUCCUGUCACCUUGCCUCUCCCCUUUCCCCCACCUUAUUCUAUCCCACCCGCCACCGUUGGCCAACUCCUCUCCUAAACAGUGGACUCUGCUUUUUCCCCUCCUCUUAUCCCUAAUCCUAGGAGCUUUCUGUCUGGCUUCCCUCCUGGCCCCUCGUGUAUGCAUUCUCUCUAGCGGUGGGGAUUAAGGAGAAAACUCACGUGGCCAGUGGGUAGAGAGAGUCCGGGCAGGCAGCUGCCUGAAGUCAGCCAGAGUCUGCAUGUGCCCAGCUGUCCUGGCCUCCAGCAUCUCUGGAAAAACAGAGACAGAAUGAGUAGCAGCAGGGGACCCCAUAGGGCACAUCUGAAGGCCUGAGAGGUGCUGGAUGGGAUGGGAAGGCAGAAACAGGCUGACCUUAUCUAGGGGUAGGAGUGGGGAGUACUGGUUGGGGUAUCACCGCUACCCCACGUGAUGGCACAGAGAGUUGCCUGGAACUUACCACUGACAUAAGGUUGGAGUGCAGUGGCACGAUCUCGGCUCAGUGCAACCUCCGCCUCCUGAGUUCAAGUGAUUCUCCUGCCUCAGCCUCCCUAGUAGCUGGGAUUACAGGACAAGGAGAGGGACAAAUUCCUUCUUGGCAUCCUUAUGGCCCUGUGACCUGCUAAUGAAUGCUGACUCUGAGUUGCUACUAGAAUUUGGUUUCCUUGUGGCUUCCCAGGAAUUGUGAGCCAUGUUGGAUAAGGACCUGCAAGGGAAGAAUGAGGAAGCCUGGGACAGUGCAGGAGGGGAGAGCACUGGUGGUAGAGAGGAGUGAUGACAAGGGUCUCCGCCAAAAGGGAAAUGGAGGGGUUAAAGAAGCUGCUGGGGAGGGUUAAAAACAAUGUGUUCUCACUCGUAGGUGGGAAUUGAACAAUGAGAACACUUGGACACAGGAAGGGGAACAUCACACACUGGGGCCUGUCGUGGGGUGUGGGGAGGGAGGAGGGAUAGCAUUAGGAGAUAUACCUAAUGUAAAUGAUGAGUUAAUGGGUGCAGCACACCAACAUGGCACAUGUAUACCUAUGUAACAAACCUGCACAUUGUGUACAUGUACCCUAGAACUUAAAGUAUAAUUAAAAAACAAAACAAAACAAAACAAAAACAAUGAGGUGCUAUUGUUUUAGUGGUGAGUAUCCGGAGACCUGGGAGUUCUAUUUACCAGGUAUAACCUGGGCUCAAAAUUCCAGGCUGACUUCAGGCAUGUCCUCAUCUCAUAGAUGCCAGCACUAAGGCCCAGAGAGGGCCGAGCUCAUUCAGCCCACCCAUCUUCUCACCCCUGACUGCAUUUCCCGGGGGUCCUUCUGCAGCCAGGUGCUGCUGUGGUACUUUGGGAUCUAUUGGCUGAGCUCCCAGAGAAGGGUCAUGGAUUGGGCUAGUUUGGAACAAGUGAAGGGACUGAAGAUGGGCUCAGUAUGGGGCGAAGACCUUCAGGAAGGGUCUGCAGAGUGAGUAGGGGGGUUUUGACUAGGAAAAGUUCCAACCCUGCCGGGGCCGCUGUCAAGAGAAAAGCAUCUAUUACAGUUACAUUUUUAAGUUAAGUAGACUGAAGAAUAUUUCUUGUGUAUUAAAGACGUUCCUUUUUGGUUGAUUUGCAAUGGAAAAGCUUUUGUUUUCUUUUUUUUUUUGGAAACAGGGUCUCACUCUGCUCACUCUGUCUCCCAAGCUGGAGUGCAGUGGUACAGUCACGGCUCACUGCAGCCUCCACUUCCUGGACUCAAGUGAUCUUCUCACUUCAGCCUUCUGAGUAGCUGGGACUACAGCCCCCUCUGCAGCUCUUCAUGGGGGUCCACUCAAGUCAGAAGCCACAUUUGGGUGUGAUUCAGAGAGCUGUUUAUGCAAAACCAGCUUUGUCACCAUCAGGCAAGGCACCUGAAUUCCCACCGCAGAGAGUGUUGUGGCCGUGAGGACUUUUCUGUCACCAGCCAUUUCCAGGUAGACCCAGUGUAAUCACAAGCAUCCUUGUAAGUGGCAAAGAGGCAGAGGAGACAGCGCCAGAGAGGCAGCUGCAUGAGAAGGAUCAAGAUGUUGCUGACUUUGAAGUUGGAAGAAGAAGGCCAUGAGCCUCAGUAUGUGGGCGGCUUCUAGAAGCUGGAAGGGGCAAGGAGAUGGAUUUGACCCUUCAGCCUCCAGGGGCAGCUGUACCUGCCAUCACUGAUUGUAGCCUGGUGAGGCCUGUUUUAGACUUCUGACCUGUAGAGCUGUAACAUAAUACAUUUGGGUUGUUUUCAACCACUAAGUUUGUGGUAAUUUGUUGUAGCAGCUGUAGAAAAUGAAUACAUAUGAAUCCUCUGGCAUUUGUUUGAGAUUUGCUCUAUGGCCUAGUAUGUGGUUGUAAAUGUUCCAUCUGUGCCUGAAAAAAUGUAUAUUUCUAAUUCAGUAGUCUCUGCUUUUUUUUUUUAUUUUGUACCCCAUCAAUAAAAUGAUUUUCAGCAUGUAUCCCCAAAUAAACAAUAUUUUAUUUAUUGAUUGAUUGAUAAACAGACAUGUUUAAUGAUAGCUUGCUUUUCACAGAGGUGACUUCGGAGACUUCUAAUCUAUAAUCCAGGAGUAUAUAACCAUG